rnacentral:rRNA from 1 species
GGCCUUGACAUACUAAGAACUUUCCAGAGAUGGAUUGGUGCCUUCGGGAACUUAGAUACAGGUGCUGCAUGGCUGUCGUCAGCUCGUGUCGUGAGAUGUUGGGUUAAGUCCCGCAACGAGCGCAACCUUUUCCUAUUUGCCAGCGGGUCAUGCCGGGAACUUUAAGGAUACUGCCAGUGACAAACUGGAGGAAGGCGGGGACGACGUCAAGUCAUCAUGGCCCUUACGGCCAGGGCUACACACGUGCUACAAUGGUCGGUACAAAGGGUUGCUACCUCGCGAGAGGAUGCUAAUCUCAAAAAGCCGAUCGUAGUCCGGAUCGCAGUCUGCAACUCGACUGCGUGAAGUCGGAAUCGCUAGUAAUCGCGGAUCAGAAUGCCGCGGUGAAUACGUUCCCGGGCCUUGUACACACCGCCCGUCACACCAUGGGAGUUUGUUGCACCAGAAGUAGGUAGUCUAACCGCAAGGAGGACGCUUACCACGGUGUGGCCGAUGACUGGGGUGAAGUCGUAACAAGGUAGGCGUAGAUGA